rnacentral:rRNA from 1 species
AACGAACGCUGGCGGCAGGCCUAACACAUGCCAGUCGAGCGCACCCUUCGGGGUGAGCGGCGGACGGGUGAGUAACGCGUGGGAACGUGCCCUUCUCUGCGGAAUAGCCUCGGGAAACUGAGAGUAAUACCGCAUACGCCCUUUGGGGGAAAGAUUUAUCGGAGAAGGAUCGGCCCGCGUUGGAUUAGGUAGUUGGUGGGGUAAUGGCCCACCAAGCCGACGAUCCAUAGCUGGUUUGAGAGGAUGAUCAGCCACACUGGGACUGAGACACGGCCCAGACUCCUACGGGAGGCAGCAGUGGGGAAUCUUAGACAAUGGGGGCAACCCUGAUCGAGCCAUGCCGCGUGAGUGAUGAAGGCCUUAGGGUUGUAAAGCUCUUUCAGCUGGGAAGAUAAUGACGGUACCAGCAGAAGAAGCCCCGGCUAACUCCGUG